rnacentral:misc_RNA from 1 species
CAGUUCGAACAGAAAGAAAGGGAAAAGAUACACGGGACCCCUCGUCCUCCCCCAAUCACCGUGCGCUCUGACGACGGGUGCCGUGGUUGUUUUCUUGUCCCCUUCUUCCAUCCAUUCCACCCCUUGCGAAUCCAUACAAACAUACAGAGAUACACACACUUGGUGUGCGCGCGCACCUUGUGCCCCCCUCUUCCAUGCAGCGCAAGUAUACCAACGCGCAGGCGUUGGCCGUCUACCAGGCGCUGCAGCAGAGCGGCGGCCUCAGUGCCCUUGAGGACGACACCGCCACGGCGCUGUAUCUUUCGCAGAAUGCGGCCGCCACCGGCGAGCUCAACUUCACGCCUGGGCUACUGGAGCGACUGACGAAGCGACUUGACAAGGGGGGCAUGGUGCUGGACCCGUUCUGCUCGUACGACUACGCCGACCGCCGCCACAUCCGCAACUUCUCCAUGUCAAUCCCCAUUCCCUUUAGCGCCUUCGACGGCAUCCGCCGCAGCAAGCAUCAAGUGCAGCUCACCGCGGCGCAGGAGGAGAAUGUUCUGAAGUCAUUCGACAAGUUGCUUAACGGCGAGGACGUCAAGAAGAGUGGCGCGACCCCAGCGGCGAAAGGCGCGCGAGAGAUAUCUGUGGCGCUGCCGUUUGUGAGCGCCUUCUUCGACCAGCGCUGCCCGGAAUUGCACAACAGCGUACUGACGGGCUCGCGCGAGGGGGCGACGUACCUUCUUCUGUCCGUAAUCACAGGCCACAAGGAGCUUUGCGCCAAGUGCCUCAAGGCCGGCGCCAACCCGAACAACAUGUCGUUUCUUCGAGACGAGUCGCCGGCGCCGGGUGACAUGUUCCAUGGGUACAGCCCAGUUUUCAUGGCGGUGCUGGCGGAGCAGGUCGAGAUCCUGGAGCUGCUGUGCAGCUGCGGAGGCAGCAUUCACGUGUACGACCGCUGGGGCCGCACCCCUCUGCACGCUGCCAUGGCGGUAGAGAGCACCUUGACGGUGCAGUGGCUUCUGGCGAAAGGCGCGCCACUGUACGUGCCAGAUGGCUUCGGCAUUCUCCCGGCUGACAGCUGCGUCGGCACACAGUACGCGGAAUACUCGAUGCCCAUGUUGGCGCUGCAGGAGCCGCCAAAGUGCCCACCGCCGAGCUACUUCGCCGAGGCUGCGAAGAGCUGGGCCGCCCCGGAGCGAGAGAGCAAACCCACGGCCGAGAGGGAACCAAAGGAGGACGCAGCCACCACCAGCUCUGGUGCAUCGGCCGCUGAGGGGGAGAUUAAGAUGGAGCUGUGCCGCUGUCGCUCCGGUCGGCCAGUAGGGUUCUGCGGCUGCAUCGAUGACAUGCUCGUCCGGUGGGCGCGCGAUCGCCUGAACACUGAGUGGAGCCCCGGUGUGAACUUUAGCGCACUCGCAAAGAAGCAGGCGGCUGUCGAAGAGGAGCGAAAGCGAACGACGUACAGCGCAGACGGCGGCCGAGUUGUUAAGUCCUAACAAUGGAGGAGCGCACCAUGGCACAGAUGAUCGGGGCGCACCGAGCUAGUGGCGCAGGGCGGAGGAGGGAGGCCUGCGGCUGCUGCUCCGUGUCACCGCGGGUGGCAUGAUUUGCGUAUAGAAGGAAACAAAGUGUGUGUGUGUGUGCACUCAUGUACGGGAUGGUGCAUGCUGUGGUCACUCUCUUCCUGGGCCUUUUUCUCGGCUUUGCCCUAUCCAGUGCUGACGUUUUUUUUUUUCCGCUCUUCUUGAGUGUUUGCGUGCGUGUCGGCCGUUGCGGCGGGGGCAUGCUGCCGCGGGUUUUUGUUUAAGCCGCUUGCAAUGCGCGUGUGCACCGAAAAGCAAAACCUCCCUAACGACACAAAAAGAAAGAAUGAGACAAGACUUUGAUCUACGGUUCGCUGUGAGUAUGUGAAUGUGCGUGUGUCUCCUUCCCCUACCUUCUCCCCCCUCCCCAUGUGAGUGAGAAAGGCUGCGGCUUCGGCCGAUGGCAAGCAAUGAUUCUCGACAAUGCAUGCCCCCUCAAGGGGGACUUCUUCCGCGCCACUUGCUCUUCACCUUUGCGGCUGUUCACCUAACCCUCUCCCCCUCCCCCCAUCACACGCACACCUGCAG